AUUUGCUGCAAAGGCCUUUGGCCUCUUCCUGCCCAUGUUAGGCAACUUAGGCACACAUUCUCAGUGUCCUGGCAAGAAACUCUCAUAAGAGCGGGAAGAAGGCCAGAGAAGGCCAAAGCCUUCAGACAGAGGCUUUGUAGCAAAGCUCUGGGGGAGGGAGAGAAAUGAAGCAAUUGCCCUGGGCAUACUGGGCAAGUGACUCAGCACGCCUGCAGGAGAGAAGCAGCUUGCAAUUCCGGAGGAGUUAAGGAAAGAAAUAAGAAAGCAUGACCCUCCCAACCCCACCCAACAAGAGCAUGGGAGAGAAGUAGAAGAGUGAAGAUUUCAACAAAGUUCUGGAAGCAGGAGGUAGAUGGAGAGGGAAGUAUGCUCAGGAAGAACGUUGCAGCCUAGGACACCUGAGACGGAGACCACAGCCAAGGACAGGCUUAAUGCAUCUGCCUGAAAGAAACCCAGUCUCCUCACAGACUCCAAAGCAGACGGUAGGCUCUUUGGAGGCAGGAACCAAUCCCGCUAAAAAGGAUUCCUUGCACACGUGUCACAUGACUGAUCAUAAUCACAGCAGAAGGAAACUCAAGAAAUCACCCAUAUAGUCCCUGCCCUUGGGACCAAUGAGGAAACUUCAAGCUUCCCCAGAGGGCACCUGGAAAAAUCUCAAAGGAUUUGUUCUCUCACUUGAAAGCAGCAUGAGGAAGAACCUGCACCCCACCAGUGACAAUGCUGGAUCCUUAACUUCUAGGCAACCGGGAAGCUCCCAAUCAGUUCUUUUCUUACAGCUAAGGAAGUGAGGCCAGGAGAAGUCAAGUGAUUCAUCCGUCCACGCUACUUUUUCUACCGUAAUACUUAUGUUGAUGCUCUUUCUAUAUACUCUAUCCCUAAGAUUUUUCCCAGAGAGGUUUGGCAAGUGAGCAUACAGUCUGAGGGGGAGACGAAGAUGAUAUCAGCCAGAGGAUAAGUUAGGGGCUCACUAACUGGAGCUCAAGAGACAUGCAAAGGAAGUGAUCAGUGGGAGUGAAGGGAGAGCAAGGUGGGGAAUACACACAAAUACAAACAUACCUGAAGAGAUGAGGGAGAGUGAGGAGAAAGAGCAAAGGAGGCAAAGAAUUCAUCUGCUCCUGCAAAGAUGUUCACAUUCCCAGAAAAGGAGCACUUGACAGAAGAAAGGAGGCUGCUGCAAACCAAUGCCAAAGUCAAAACUCAUCAGAAAAAAAGAAUUAGAAAUUAUAAGAGUUCUCCUUCAGAUUCAUUUAUUUGGGAAAAAAAAAAAGUGUGAAGAAAAACAGAGGAGCCUUCUCAGGGUUGCCUGAGAAAUUAACAGAAGGAGAUCAAAACAACUAUCUGAAAGACUAAAGCUCUGCAAGGGAAAAAAAAAAAAAAAAGAGUUGAUAUUUAAGGUCAGCAAAAUUUUGCUUGGGAGAAAAAUGAACCAAGGCUGUCUCCCAGGGCUCUUGUCCUUAAAAGGCUGGAAUAUCUCAGGACUGGUACUUCCGCAAGACUACAGAAGUCAUACCAAAUGGUAUGGUGUGAAUUCACUGUGAAGAUUAAGAGAGAGAAGUAGCAGAAUGAUAUUUGAGCUGCUGACAUAGGCAGCUGAUAAACAUUAAAAAGAAAUAAUAGGAUAUGCGUGUAAUUAGCAUGUGAAAGUCAGAAGGCUUCAGUGGUGGUCUUGGCCCUGCCACUCAUGGGCUGGGUCAGUUUGUGCCAAGUGCUUCAAUUGUCUAAGGCUCAAUUUCCCCUGUUAUGAAGUGAGGGGCUCAGGCUGAUUCUCAAAGCCUUAUCCCUAGAUCAGCAGCAUGGAAGGACUUGCGAGGAAUACAAACUCUUAGGUCUUAUCCCAGACUUACUGAGGCUCUGCCAUCUGUGUUGGAACAAGCCCUCUGACUGAGAAACCUGUAAAGUUUGAGAUCCACUGAGAAAGCUACCACCAGAUGAUCUCUAUAUGCCUUAUAGCUGUAAACAGUCUAAUUCUAAGGGAAAGAGGAAAGAGAGCUAGGUUACCCAGUAGCUGGCAUAAAAAAUUAUUUUAGGAGUUCCCAUCAUGGCUCAGUGG